rnacentral:lncRNA from 1 species
AACCUACUAAAUGGCAUCCGACCUCACAAGUAAAAUCUACCAUGGGCGAUAACAGAGCAUCUACUGAAUUUAGAUUACAAGAACAGUUGAGUAGAAGAAAUUACUCAAAUCCUAACUAGGAAGGUUCACAGUUUGAGCCUCGUACACCUCUUGCACGCUUCUUGGAGCGACUACUAACUGAGGGGCGCAAAACAGAACACAUGUGAGUGGACAAAAAAAAGAUUUGCAGUUAAAAACAAUAUAGUAACCCCACCGUGCAAAAAUAAUGCUCAAGACAUGCAGGUUUACAAUUCAUUAUUUAAUUACUCAAAACAUAAUUCAUUUAAAAAUUCUUCAAAACACAAGUCAUCUCCUUCAUAAACCCCAUUCUCUCAAUCUUGCAACUCCUGCCAAACCACUGAAAAACUCUAAUUUCUUCACACUCCCAACUAUAGAUAUACAUAUAAAUAUAUAUAUAACUGUAACUAUACAUAGCUAUACGAUAUACUCAUCACACUACCUAGGUACCGGGGAAACAAUCCAACUGGGGGAUCGUUUGACUAGUCCGCAGGAUUUCUAGGUGCUAUCCUGCGUCUAGGGAUGAGCGGUCCAAUCGAGGGACGAAACUCCAAAGCUCACACACCGGAACAUCUAACGCCAUGUGUAGCUCCCAAACUAUGUCCUACGCGCGCAGACUGGAUCAUCACACACCGGAACAUCCAACCCCAUGGGUGAUGAACACUAUACAGAGUCUUUCUAUACGCCGGAACAUCCAACGCCGCAUAUGGAAAGUGUCUCACACACCGGAACAUCCAACGCCGCGAGUGAGACAGAUAACCUAUUCUUCCCACACGCCGGAACAUCCAACGCCGCGUGUGGAAAGUCUAAUAACGGGGGAAGAUACUUACAUAGUGUAAUCAUACAACUUCUCUCAACAACCCCUCAUAAUCAAGUUCUUCCACAACACACUUCAACAACCCAAGUAUCUCGCCUAUAGAGAAUAUAUAUAUAUAUAUAUAUAUAUAUAUACUUCCCCAAAAUGCCCAACUCACAAUAUAUUACUAAAGCGUUA